CCCUUUGAAAAAAGAAAAAAAAUUGCAGUUGACCCCUCGUCUUACGGAUUUUGACUACGACCUUCAUAAAUUUUAGUCUCUUCAUUAUGAGCCCAUGGGAUCAAAUCUAUCGUUCACCAGUGAUAUUACAAAUGCACAAGGUUUUUGACCACUAGCCAGCCUGUGACUCGAUAUCUUUUAAUAAAAUUUGAUUGAUCUACAGCAUAUCUCUAACAUCUGAAACAACUGGCAAAAUAAUACUCGAGGGAAUCUCCUUGCUACUAUCGCCUUUGAAACGCAUUUGGCUAUAUCUUUCAGUACUCUGCAUCACUGGUCUCAGGACGCCUGGCAUCGGCUCAUCUCCACAUCUUUCACACUUAAUCUGAAUUAAAAAAAUUGUAAAAAUAUACGUAUAACGUGUUGCACUAUGCUCUUGCUAAUUUCUUGACUUGACACAAUUAUUAUACAGCACAACGUACCGACUAAAAUUGUCGCCCUCCAUGCAUUAUAGAGCUCCGUAGUCGCAGAAUUGGACACAUAUAUAUUAUAAUAAUAUAUUUAUUCUCACGCCUCAACA
rnacentral:lncRNA from 1 species